UGGGGUAUCGUCUAAUCGGUAGGACAGCGGCCUUUGAAGCCGUCAGUCAAGGUUCGAGUCCUUGUACCCCAG
rnacentral:tRNA from 1 species